rnacentral:rRNA from 1 species
AACUUUCAAUAACGGAUCUCUUGGUUCUGGCAUCGAUGAAGAACGCAGCGAAAUGCGAUAAGUAAUGUGAAUUGCAGAAUUCAGUGAAUCAUCGAAUCUUUGAACGCACAUUGCGCCCCUUGGUAUUCCGAGGGGCAUGCCUGUUCGAGCGUCAUU